GACGAACGCUGGCGGCGUGCUUAACACAUGCAAGUCGAACGGUAAAGCCCUGCGUUGGUGGGCUGCUCGGGAGGCGUGAGGAUGAGUUACACGAGAUUAACCUGCCCUUGACUUUGCUACAACUUCUGGAGACUAGUGCUAAUACCUGACCGGUUCUCGCGCUGCAGGGUGUGGGAUGGAUUGUCUGCGGGGGUGGGGAUGGACUCGCGGCUUAUCAGCUUGUUGGUGGGGGAGUGGCUUACCAAGGCUUGGACGGGUAGCCGGCCUGAGAGGGUGACCGGCCACAUUGGGACUGAGAUACGGCCCAGACUCCUACGGGAGGCAGCAGUGGGGAAUAUUGCGCAAUGGGCGGAAGCCUGAUGCAGCAACGCCGCGUGCGGGAUGACGGCCUUCGGGUUGUAAACCGCUUUCGCCUGUGACGAAGCGUGAGUGACGGUAAUGGGUAAAGAAGCACCGGCUAACUACGUG
rnacentral:rRNA from 1 species